GACGAACGCUGGCGGCGUGCCUAAUACAUGCAAGUCUAACGAGCGGCGGACGGGUGAGUAAUGUAUGGGGAUCUGACCGCUAGAGGGGGAUACCUACUGGAAACGGUGGCUAAUACCGCAUACUAUCUGAUGAACACAUAUGGGAUUAGCUAGUAGGUGCGGUAAAGGCUCACCUUGGCGACGAUCUCUAGAUGGUCUGAGAGGAUGAUCAGCACAACUGGAAAUGAUAAACGGCCCAGACUAAUACGGGAGGCAGCAGUGGGAAAUAUUGCACAAUGGGAGCAAGCCUGAUGCAGCCAUGACGAGUGUAUGAAUAAGUACUUAGGGUUGUAAAGUCCUUUCAGCGGGGGGGCGUUACACGCAGAAGAAGCACCGGCUAACUCCGUGCCAGCAGCCGCGGUAAUUC
rnacentral:rRNA from 1 species